GAUGAACGCUGGCGGCGUGCCUAAUACAUGCAAGUCGAGCGGACGGACGAUAAGCUUGCUUCUCUGAUGUUAGCGGCGGACGGGUGAGUAACACGUGGAUAACCUACCUAUAAGACUGGGAUAACUUCGGGAAACCGGAGCUAAUACCGGAUAAUAUUUUGAACCGCAGGGUUCAAAAGUGAAAGACGGUCUUGCUGUCACUUAUAGAUGGAUCCGCGCUGCAUUAGCUAGUUGGUAAGGUAACGGCUUACCAAGGCAACGAUGCAUAGCCGACCGGCGAGGGUGAGCAGCCAGCCUGGGACGGAGACACGGUCCAUAGUCCCAGGGGAGGGAGCAGUAGGGAUACGGCCGGCAUGGGUGGAGACCUGUCGGAGCAACGCCGCGGGAGUGAGGAAGGUCUUCGGGUCGUAAAACUCUGUUAUUAGGGAAGAACAUAUUUGUAAGUGACUGUGCGCGUCUUGACGGUACCUAAUUAGAAAGCCACGGCUAACUUCGUU
rnacentral:rRNA from 1 species